GCUGUGUUCCCCCGCAGCUGCCAGGGCCUGCCGGUGGCCUGGGGCAGCCCCACUGCAAGGAGCACUGCCGAUCUGGAAAACCACACAGGACCUGGGGGAGCUGAUUCGCACUUGGAUGGGAGGCCACCAGGAAAUCCAUAGGCUAAGCAAGGUGAAACAUCCGCCUGGGAAAGGGCCUGCCUUCUUCCCUUCUUGAAAGGGGGCACCUUCGCCCUCUCGCCUGUUCUCCAAAGAGAUCUCGGAGAUGACAGCAGAAACGAGGCUCGCACUUUGAACUGAACCUUAGAGAUUCAGGGCCGUCCGCAGAGGGCAUCAUGGAAACGCCAUGUCACUGCUUAAGCCAGACGCAGGAGCCAGGGCAGGUCAGGCACCACUAAAAAUGCCAAACGUGCAAGUCCGCAGAUUGCGCCUGGUGCCCCUGGCCGGAAGAGGAAGGGCCAGUCUGAACAGAGCAUUCUGGGAGGGUGUCUAAGUGCUCCUCAAAGCCACCACCCCCGCCACGUCCUCCGGCUGGGUGGCCCCCACACCAGCUCCAGGAACUGUAGUCGGCCCGGCAGGAGGACAGCAGCGACGCAUCCCGGCCGGUUAAGCAGCGGAGCCGAGUGGAGAAGCCCCCAUCUCCGUGCGCAUGAACCAAGAAGCGGUGCUCCAUUUGGCUGACACUCACCUUUGCACACCCAAACUCCUAACCAAGAUUGGGAACUCUGCUUUGUUUGGGUUCCUGGUGGCGCCAAGCGUUCCUCUAUCCUUGCCUUCAAGCGCACGCAAAUCAGUGCAUGCCACGCACUGCCUUCCCCAGCCAACACUGCAAAGCUGGGACUGCAGGGGCCUCAUGGGAGAAGUGUGUGUGCGUGCCCUGGGCUGCUGCUUUCCUAAGGGGCAGCUUUUGAGUGGGGAGAAGCAGCUCCGAACCUGAAACAAGGCUCACCACCUCUGGGCCACCAAAAAACAAGCAGAAGUUUCCAUGUGGCUUUCUUUGGAAAAGUGGGUUUUCUGACUGCUUUUUCUGGUUCUUUUUUGCAGGCCACCCAGAGGCCUCUGGACUGGAUAUGUA